rnacentral:rRNA from 1 species
UACGGGGGGGAGCAAGCGUUGUUCGGAUUUACUGGGCGUAAAGGGCGCGUAGGCGGCCGUGCAAGUCUGGCGUGAAAGCCCCGGGCUCAGCCCGGGAAGUGCGCUCGAAACUGCGCGGCUCGAGUGCCGGAGGGGAGAGUGGAAUUCCUGGUGUAGCGGUGAAAUGCGUAGAUAUUGGGAAGAACACCGGUGGCGAAGGCGGCGCUCUGGACCGAGACUGACGCUGAGGCGCGAAAGCGUGGGGAGCAAACAGG